AGAUUGAACGCUGGCGGCAUGCCUUACACAUGCAAGUCGAACGGUAACAGGUCUUCGGAUGCUGACGAGUGGCGAACGGGUGAGUAAUACAUCGGAACGUGCCCGAUCGUGGGGGAUAACGCAGCGAAAGCUGUGCUAAUACCGCAUACGAUCUACGGAUGAAAGCAGGGCCCGCAA
rnacentral:rRNA from 1 species